rnacentral:tRNA from 1 species
UCCCUGGUGGUCUAGUGGUUAAGACGUGGUGCUUUCACUGCUGGAACCUAUGUUCAAUCCCUGGUCUGGGAA